GGUGGCUUAGUGGUAGAGCACAUGCCUUGCAUGCAUGAGGCCCUGGGUUCGAUUCCUCAGUACCA
rnacentral:tRNA from 1 species